GAUGAACGCUGGCGGCGUGCCUAAUACAUGCAAGUCGAGCGAACAGACGAGGAGCUUGCUCCUCUGACGUUAGCGGCGGACGGGUGAGUAACACGUGGAUAACCUACCUAUAAGACUGGGAUAACUUCGGGAAACCGGAGCUAAUACCGGAUAAUAUAUUGAACCGCAUGGUUCAAUGGUGAAAGACGGUUUUGCUGUCACUUAUAGAUGGAUCCGCGCCGCAUUAGCUAGUUGGUAAGGUAACGGCUUACCAAGGCAACGAUGCGUAGCCGACCUGAGAGGGUGAUCGGCCACACUGGAACGGGGACACGGUCCAGACUCCUACGGGAGGCAGCAGUAGGGAAUCUGCCGCAAUGGGCGAAAGCCUGACGGAGCAACGCCGCGUGAGUGAUGAAGGUCUUCGGAUCGUAAAACUCUGUUAUUAGGGAAGAACAAAUGUGUAAGUAACUAUGCACGUCUUGACGGUACCUAAUCAGAAAGCCACGGCUAACUACGUG
rnacentral:rRNA from 1 species